rnacentral:snoRNA from 1 species
UUCCUAGGUUCCCCAUGCAGUCCCCUGUGAGCCUGCAGUAUUUUCCUUAUAUGAUCAGCCCCCCUUGGGUGGCACUGCUCACCUGGAGCCUGACAGUAUUAUAACACGUGACAGUCAAAGUAAGGCCAGGGGCCCCGGGG